UACGAAGGGUGCUAGCGUUGUUCGGAAUCACUGGGCGUAAAGCGCGCGUAGGCGGCGAUACAAGUCAGAGGUGAAAGCCUGGAGCUCAACUCCAGAAUUGCCUUUGAAACUGCAUUGCUAGAGUGUCGGAGGGGAUAGCGGAAUUCCUAAUGUAGAGGUGAAAUUCGUAGAUAUUAGGAGGAACACCGGUGGCGAAGGCGGCUAUCUGGACGACAACUGACGCUGAGGCGCGAAAGCGUGGGGAUCAAACAGG
rnacentral:rRNA from 1 species